UAGUUCUAAAGUUUAGCAUUUUAAACUAUAUACGAGUAUGAAAAUCACUUCAGUUUUUGUAAUAUUUGCAUGGGCUUUAAUUUUCUGCUUCGUUAGCAUAGAGGCAGGACCUGCAUGCAAUAAGGCAUGUACCCGCGAAUCAAAUCCCGUUUGUGGUAGAUAUCGAAGACCAAGUGGAAUAUCAUCACAAUGUACUUUCGCAAAUCCAUGUUUGUUGGCAGUUCACAGAUGCCAGACAGGAGAACCGUGGACUGCAACUCCAGGAGCUUGCCCUAAAAUGACGGUCGAUUGCGAGAGACAAGUAAGAGGUUAAAUAAGCUAUGUUUAUGAAAAUUUUAAGAAAUAUGUAAAUGAAUUGUGCUAAAAAGAAUUUGAAAUCAAUGUGUUAUUUUAUUGUUGGAAAAUUAUUAGAUUUCUUAACUUUAAACAAUACAUUCAGAAUAAAGGAAAUUAAAUUGUUCGUCUUGAAAAAUGAUAA